rnacentral:rRNA from 1 species
AUGCACCCUAAGCUACUGCCGUCGGAGAUGGUCGAGCGCCAGCGCGAGCGUCGGCGCGAACCUUUCGACGUCGACGCGCACGUUCUGCUUGCCGAGGUAGUACUCGGCGACCUUGUCCCACCCGCUCCGGUGGACCGAAUCGGGAUCCUUGAUCGCGGGGUGGUCCGGCCCCAGCGUCUCCAGCAGCGUGCUCUCGUCCACCGAGAUGCUGUACUCGAGGUACCGGAGCCCCAUGUUCGCCGCGGGGUCGCCGAACUCCCUCUGCGCCAUCGGCUCCAGCUUGCCGUACGGCACCACCUGGAUCACCACCGCCCCCGGCGGCAGGAAGGCCGAGUUGGUCAGCCCGGCGCCGUGCACGCCGAGCAGCACGUCGAACGAGUUCACGGACAUGGCCAGCUCCUUCACGCGCACGUUAAACCGCGGGUCCGCUAUGGUCACCUCGAACCCGGCCUUCUCCGCCGCCUUCACGAUCUCCGGCACGUUGACGAGCUUCCGGUAGUGGCCCCGGUCCAGCAGCAUCAGCCGCGGCUUCCUCUUCUUCGCGUCCACCGGCGGGCUGCUGUCGUUAGUCAGGCUGAUGGGAGCGGCGCGCGGCAGGGAGUAGGUCUCGCGGAGGAAGGCGGUGAAGUUGGCCAUGGAGAGCGGGACGCCGCCGGGGACCAGCUCCGGGACGAUGUUGAACUCCUUGUGCAUGUUGAGGCCGACGGUGACGUGCCGGAAGCAUCGGAUCUGAUCGUCAUGGUCGAGGUCCAGGACCUCGUACUUGGUCAGCCGCCGCACGACGGCCUCGUACUUGCCGAGCCACCAGGGCUGGAUGUUGCCGGCCAGGAGCUGGACCUCGCCGCCGUACCGGCGCGACGCCACGAACAGCGGCACCAGCGCGUCGCUGAAGUCGUGGAAGUAGUUGCCCAGGUGGCCGCCGAGCGCGAGCACGAUGGCCGGGACGCGGUGCGUCACCGUGCACGCCGGGGCCGGGGACCCCGCGGACGUCGAGUCGAGCUGCGUCACCGUGACGUUGGGGAUGCCGGUCAUGUUGAAGCGGGCGUAGGCCUGGUUGCUCCCCUCAGUUGA